UAGCGAUGAUUGGGACAUGGGUGGGGACAUGGGGAGAUCCGGUGGGCAUGUUGGCUCAUGUAUGUACGUGUGUGUAUAGAAUUAUGUGUUGAGAUUCUGCCUGUCUUUCAAGCUCCCAGGUCAUGUCACUUGCUGCUGGUCCUUGGUCCACAUUUUGAGCAACAGCACACGCAGGAGCUAAACUAUCGGGAUUAGAGUUUAACACUCUUCAGGGCAGGGUAUGAAGAUCAAGCUACCAUCACAGCCCCAGGUUUUGGCCAGAGACACCUGAGUCUGUCUCUUGUAAUGGUGGUUACUGCUGGGCCCUCACUGGAUGCUCUUUCUCCAUCUUCCCGGGCAGGUUCAUAACAAGAAACACCUUAUCCCUACAGGAAACCCCACAACCUUUAGCAAUGACUAUUCAUUGCCGUUUGAUAAGUAGUACCCCCCUGUGUGCCAGGGGCUAGAGAGUGCAAAUUUGAACAAAUUAAGACCACAGACUGCGUUUUAAUAAGGACGGAGCUUGCAGGGAAAAGAAGGCACAUCUGAAGAGUUCCCAUCUGGAGGAAGAAUGCCACUCGCAUGGUUAUGAGAAGCAGCAUGACGCAAGGGCCACAUCGCCCAGGGCUUUGAUGAGAUGCUGAAGUUAACCAGAAACACUUCCUGUUGUCUUUCCUGUUGAAGUGCUUCUGAGAUCAUUUCUAUGUGCUGUAUGAGGUUUCAAAACGCUGCACCAAAUCGCCUAAGAACAAACAUGUUCAAGCAACAGUCCAGACCAACUGAUACAUGAGUCAGGCAUCCUGGAAGGUGCUGGGAGGUUUGUGAAGAUGGGUCAGACUUAGACUGCGCAGCCCAAGCAUCCUGGAUAAGGCUUUGGCCUAUGACAGUAUCAGCAAAAGAAAAAAGUGACUCCAAAAUUUCCUAUCUAUGGAACUGCGAUGGGAGUGAUACUGCCAAGGUGCAUGGAUGAAAUCAAGGAGAGUGCUUGAGUUCUUAAAUAAGCUUUGACUGCCAGCUCUUGCUCACCAGAUGACCGAGUCUGCAGAGAUGGUCUAUGCAAGCAUGUGUCAUCAUCAGGCUGUUUGACCCCAUGAAAUACUCCGGUGUAUUUAUUUGAACCUUUCCAAGUCGUAACUACACCACCCUCAACAAGUAAGCCUCCUGGCUUAGAAAUUCGUGGCAGCUGUAUGAGGAUAGAUAAUUAGAGACAGAGUGUAUUUUAAAGACAAAUCUAGAAAUGCCCUGAUCACUUUGCUUGACUUUGUUUGGAUCAGUCUUAUUCUCAAUGCUGAAAAACACCAAAAUCCAUGGGGUAAGGUGGGAGAAACACUGGCUUGUAGGUGUAGACUCACUUCUGGUCAGGAUAUCAUGUCACCAUCGAUGAGCUAUCUAAUUUUUCUCCACUUCUGAGAGACUUAGAAGUAUCUGGACAGGUAUAGAGCUAGUUAUUUGCAAAGAUGCUUCCACAUCUUGGUAUUAUUUCUAUAACAUACUAAACUAUGUUUCUCAUACCAACUCUUCAACACUUGAUACUCCUCUGCCAAAGGUAUUUAAUAUAAAUAUUGAAACAGGGUCCUUGUACAUAGUCCUAGCUGUUCUGGAACUAUUGUGUAGACUGUGCUGGCCCCAAACUCACAGGCAUCCAAAGGCCUCUGCAUCCCUUGUGCUUGGAUUAAAAGUGUACACCGCCAUGCCCCACUUCUUUUGGUAACUUGUUUUCUUUUUAUUUUGUCUUUUGAGACAUGAUCUUAACACUUGAUACUCCUAUUACAGAGAUAUUUAAUAAAAAUAUGCACAACAUUUUGACACUUGUUC